rnacentral:sRNA from 14 species
GUCAACUACCCCCCCUAAUCGCAAAGCGAUCUAGUGGGGGCUUGUAAAAGCAGGCCAGUUGACCAGCUUGAGUGCUUUGGGCACUACGACAGAGCGGCGAUCACACCCUGGAAUGCGCGAGCCAGUUCCAGGCUCUGUG